rnacentral:lncRNA from 1 species
AUUGGUUAUAUCUAUUUUACACCCAAAAACAUUUAAAGUACUGCAAUAUCUACUAAGAUUCACAGCAUACAGACUUCUUUGGAUCAACGGUACUCUCAGAUGAGCAAAAUAGUGUUUUAUUUAGUUUGGUGCAAAAAUAUAUUAUUAAAAGUAAACGUUUUAACCCUUGAUGUUAAUGCUUCAUCACUCAAUAGGAACCAAG